GGAGAGAUGACUGAGCUGGCCGAAAGUGCACGAUUGGAAAUCGUGUGGAGGGCUAAUAACCUUCCCGUGGGUUCGAAUCCCACUCUCUCCGCCA
rnacentral:tRNA from 1 species